rnacentral:rRNA from 1 species
UUGAACGCUGGCGGCAGGCCUAACACAUGCAAGUCGCGCGGAUGAAGGGAGCUUGCUCCUGGAUUCAGCGGCGGACGGGUGAGUAAUGCCUAGGAAUCUGCCUGGUAGUGGGGGAUAACGUCCGGAAACGGGCGCUAAUACCGCAUACGUCCUGAGGGAGAAAGUGGGGGAUCUUCGGACCUCACGCUAUCAGAUGAGCCUAGGUCGGAUUAGCUAGUUGGUGGGGUAAAGGCCUACCAAGGCGACGAUCCGUAACUGGUCUGAGAGGAUGAUCAGUCACAUGGGAACUGAACAACGGUCCAGACUCCUAGGGGAGGCACAAGUGGGGAUAUUGGACAAUGGGCGAAAGCCUGAUCCAGCCAUGCCGCGUGUGUGAAGAAGGUCUUCGGAUUGUAAAGCACUUUAAGUUGGGAGGAAGGGCAGUAAGUUAAUACCUUGCUGUUUUGACGUUACCAACAGAAUAAGCACCGGCUAACUUCGUG